AUGAUCCCAGUCCAGAAGCCACCUGCCUUAGCGCCGUGGGGCUCUACUCCUACUCCUGCAGGUCGAGCUCCUCGUGCCGUUGAAGAGGAGGAGGAGGAACGCAGAGCUAUGCAUCUGAAGUACGUGAAGAUUUGCUCCUCACUCAGGGGCCAGAAAACCUACUGCUUUUCUUGCUUUAUGGAGAGUGAGAUUGACCCUGCCAAGAAAGGGAAGAAGCCUGCCAAGAUCCUGAAGAACAAGGACCAGGCCGAAAAGCACAUGGAUGCUUGGCACAAGUCAAACUCAAUUCCUCUCAAGUGCAGUAAGACGGGCUGCUUUGCCAUGUCAAGAAUUCGACAGGACAUCAGCCACCACGAGAAAUAUGCACAUGGGUGCUAG
rnacentral:rRNA from 1 species